rnacentral:misc_RNA from 1 species
GAUGAAGUACGCAGCGAAAUGCGAUAAGUAAUGUGAAUUGCAGAAUUCAGUGAAUCAUCGAAUCUUUGAACGCACAUUGCGCCCGCCAGCACUCUGGCGGGCAUGCCUGUUCGAGCGUCAUUUCAACCAUCAAGCCCCCAGGGGCUUGUGCUGGGGCCCUGCGGCUGCCCGCAGGCCCUGAAAACCAGUGGCGGGCUCGCUAGUCACACCGAGCGCAGUAGCACAUCUCGCUCAGGGCGUGCGGCGGGCUCCUGCCGUGAAACCCCCCACUGUAACCCCAAAGGUUGACCUCGGAUCAGGUAGGAAUACCCGCUGAACUUAAGCAUAUCAAUAAGCGGAGGA